rnacentral:tRNA from 1 species
GCGUGGGUGGUAGAGCGGUCAAAUACACCGCGCUGUAGACGCGGCGCCCUUUGGGCUACGGGGGUUCGAAUCCCUCCCCACGCA